rnacentral:tRNA from 1 species
GGAAUUAUACUUUAAAUAAGAAGAGUUAGUUUGCAACUAAUUAGUGAUAAAAAUCUUUUUCCU